rnacentral:rRNA from 1 species
AUUGAACGCUGGCGGCAGGCCUAACACAUGCAAGUCGAGCGAGCGGCGGACGGGUGAGUAUUGUCUGGGAAACUGCCUGCUGGAGGGGGAUAACUCCUGGAAACGGUAGCUAAUACCGCAUACCAUCAGAUGUGCCCAGAUGGGAUUAGCUAGUAGGUGGGGUAACGGCUCACCUAGGCGACGAUCCCUAGCUGGUCUGAGAGGAGGACCAGCCACACUGGAACUGAGACACGGUCCAGACUCCUACGGGAGGCAGCAGUGGGGAAUAUUGCACAAUGGGCGCAAGCCUGAUGUAGCCAUGCCGCGUGUAUGAAGAAGGCCUUCGGGUUGUAAAGUACUUUCAGCGGGGAGGCGUUACCCGCAGAAGAAGCACCGGCUAACUCCGUGCCAGCAGCCGCGGUAAUUC